rnacentral:piRNA from 1 species
UGGGGCAGAGUCCUCACGAACGGUUUAGC